rnacentral:rRNA from 1 species
AGCAGCCGCGGUAAUUCCAGCUCCAAUAGCGUAUAUUAAAGUUGUUGCAGUUAAAAAGCUCGUAGUUGAAUUUCGGAAUCAGUAUGUCGGUCGUGCCUCCGGUAUGUACUGGCGUCACUGGUUCCUCCCUUCUGACGAACCAUCAUGCUAUUAAUUUAGUGUGGUGGGAAAUCAGGACUGUUACUUUGAAAAAAUUAGAGUGUUUAAAGCAGGCUCACGCUUGAAUACAUUAGCAUGGAAUAAUGAAAUAGGACGUUGAUCCUAUUUUGUUGGUUUCUAGGAUUGACGUAAUGAUUAAUAGGGAUAGUUGGGGGCAUUAGUAUUCAAUUGUCAGAGGUGAAAUUCUUGGAUUUAUUGAAGACUAACUACUGCGAAAGCAUUUGCCAAGGAUGUUUUCAUUAAUCAAGAACGAAAGUUAGGGGAUCGAAGACGAUCAGAUACCGUCGUAGUCUUAACCAUAAACUAUGCCGACUAGGGAUCGGAUGAUGUUAAUUUUUUAAUGUACUCAUUC